UUAUUGUGCAGUGUAGAAUUGUUGUAGAACAUAAGACAGUAUUUUCUCAAUUUUUCUUACCAGUUUUUCAAAUAUCGUUUAUUUUAUUUUACAUACAUAUUGAAAAUGCAACGUAGUGAGAUAAUUUUAUAAUAUGCUCUGAAUAUUUAAGUGAAUAUAUUUUAUUAUGGCUGCUAAAGAGGAGGUAAACAAUGUGACAACCGAGACGAAGAUUGAAGAGACGCCGGAUUCAACGACCGAGGACGCACCGGCUAGUUUAGAAACCAUCCCUGAAGGAAACGCGGUACGAAAUGGUCUUCAAACAGCGCAAAAGGACAAAACAAAGAUUGAUAUACUCCUGAAGGCUACUGCUAAUGCUCCGAUUAUGAAACAGAAAAAAUGGUCGGUUUGCCAAGAUAACCCCAUCGGACGAAUUUCCGAAUUUAUCAAGAAGUAUCUCAAGCUGGAUCCCAAUGAGAGAUUAUUCCUUUAUGUUAAUCAGACGUUUGCACCUGCUCCGGAUCAGACAGUUAAGAAUUUAUAUGAUUGUUAUGGUGCAGAUGGAAAAUUAGUCAUCCACUAUUGUAAAAGUCAAGCCUGGGGUUAAAUUGUCAAUAUUAAUUUUUGCCAUAAAAAGGAUACUGCAUAAUAUUCCACCACAGUCAAUUUCGAUUUAUAUCGAAACGCGCAACACAACCAUCACUUACAUACAAGCACUCGCGCCGGGAAAUAGCAACACUCUUUUAUAAAAGAACUCAAUAACUUUAAUAAUAAUUGGGAAAGAGUACAAAAACGUGUAACAAGGAAUAUUGGGAUAAUUAUAGCCGUCAGAAAGAUGUGUCUGCCCGAUAAGACGAUAAUUCAACGUGCUAAGAGAUGAUCCUCCGGGGAUAAAUAUACCGCAAAAGACAGUUUUCAGGCAAAGACGAAACACAAAAGAUGCAACAAUACUGCUACUGAACUGCUGCUACUGUGGUUGUGGUGGAUUGUGUUGAAGGAAAGAU